rnacentral:lncRNA from 1 species
UGUAAUACCCGGCUAAAUCCGACAUCAGAAUUCCUACCGUCCGGUGGAAUUCAGGGAUGUCAGAGGUUCUAGAAGGGUAAGAGUGAAGGUUUUCUAAAAUGCUUUUAAGUGUUUAAGUGUUGGGUUAGAAAAGAGUUGAGUUUGGUGGAGAAUUGGCCAAAGGAGUUUCUGUCAUGUUCGGCCCCCGAAUGUUAAGUUCGGCCGCCGAAAGUGCUCAAUGUUCGGCCCCCG